rnacentral:tRNA from 1 species
UAAGAUUUUAAGUUAUUUAAACUAACGCCCUUCAAAGGCAUAAAAAAAAGUGAAACCCUUUUAAAUCUUAA